GCACUGAUAGCUCAGUGGUAGAGCAAUCGGCUGCAGUUUUUCACGAAAUGGAUCCGAUAGUAUGUGAUUGGCUUGUCUUUGCCCAAGACAAAACUAAAGCUAACUGAAGUGUUCUAGGGUCCUCGGUUCAAGUCCGGGUCAGUGCU